rnacentral:rRNA from 1 species
GACGAACGCUGGCGGCGUGCUUAGCACAUGCAAGUUGAACGAGAAUUUUUCGAGUGAUUUCUUCGGAAUGAUCAUGAAAAAGGAAAGUAGCGAACGGGUGAGUAACACGUGAGAAACCUGCCUUUCACAAAGGGAUAGCCUCGGGAAACCGGGAUUAAUACCUUAUGAAACCAAACACUCGCAUGAGAGAUUGGUUAAAGAUUUAUCGGUGUUAGAUGGUCUCGCGUCUGAUUAGCUAGUUGGUGGGAUAAAAGCCUACCAAGGCAACGAUCAGUAGCCGGAUUGAGAGGUUGAACGGCCACACUGGAACUGAGACACGGUCCAGACUCCUACGGGAGGCAGCAGUGGGGAAUUUUGCACAAUGGAGGAAACUCUGAUGCAGCGACGCCGCGUGAGUGAUGAAGGUCUUCGGAUUGUAAAACUCUGUCCUUAGUGAAGAUAAUGACAGUAACUAAGAAGCAAGCCCUGGCUAAAUACGUG